UGGAUCGAUAAGUAAACUGAGAAUAGAUAGUUAAAAGCAAAUAACUUUAUCCAUAGUAGAAGGGAAAACGGUACUAUUACGUACGGACCUACUAUUGCAGGCAGGUGAUGAAUCAAAGGAGUAAGUUCGGUAAGGGCCAUAUUUGGCCCCAAUUAUAAAGUCCAUAGUUACAAGACAAUACAUGUUUUAAGUUGCCGUAAAGACAUGAGAGAAAGUUGAACAGAACUGUUUUUGUCAAAGUUUUAUUCUAACACGUUGAUUUUUACAUCCCAAAAAGGUCAACCUAAGGGAUUUUGGUGAAAUUUGACAAAAUCAGCUGGAAUUUAACCAAAUAAAGGACCAGGAAACAUAGAGCGCAGGCGUCGACAAGCUUAAUAUUCAAAUGAGACAUGUGAAAUAUUUUCACAAACAUUAUUCUAAAAGAUCUUUGUUGUCGACGUAUGCGCUCUAUGUUUCCUGUCCAAUAAUCUAUGGAAAUUUAUCCAUUUUCAUUGAUUUUUU
rnacentral:lncRNA from 1 species